GCUCUAGCAGAUAACAGUUUAAUCUGGAGUUUGAAGAGCUGGGAAUGCAGAGCUAGUCUGCACUUCAGGAGGAAUUCCAGAAGAAAGACAGGCAGAAAGGCUGUCAUGCAGGAUAGGGUGGAUUUGGCAGCUUGAAAUUGGCAGGACUGUUUGCAAGGUGUGGCAUGGAGAUACUAGAAACUGUUUUUUGCUAAUCAGAAAUAUCUAAACCCUGGGGCCACUAACAACAGGGGUGCUGGGAAAGAGGAAGGUGUGCUCACAUUGUAAAAUAUUGUGCAACUUCAAAAAGAUUUAAAUGAAAAAAUAGAUUGAAAAUAAGUAACUACAUGUAUGUCUCACACUUUAAACUUGUAUCUUUCAUGCACAGCCAAAAAUUAGAUGAUUAUAUAUUUUUUUUUUCUCUUUAGACUUGUAUUUGAGCACUCAUUUAAAAAAAAUUCAAGUCCAAACUAAUCACAUCCACACCUUUUUACAUAUAUCCACUCCCUGAGGCAG
rnacentral:lncRNA from 1 species